UCUAUCUGAUGGCGAUUAUAACAACAUACGUUGUAUUGUAAUCACAUAAGUACAGUCAACUGUAAUCAUAUUUUACUCUGCGAAGGCCGCAAAAAUAUGUGACACGCUCUUAUGGCUCUACAAAUAAGAUCGUGUCAGAUAUUUUUGCGGCCUUCGUUGUGUAACAUAUUAUUGCAGGUGACUGUACCUAAUAGUGUUUCCAACGUACGUGUGUCAAAAUUGUGGGUAGAAAUUCACGUUCAUAUCCUUUUACCACCUGUCCACAGUGUCCACCAUCAUGAAAGACAAAUAGAGUUAGACCGUAAAAAGUCUGCAGCGAUUUUGAUAGCCCACACAGUGCAAGUGUCAUUUUAAACGUCAAGCUUCUAUGAAAUUAUGACGUAUAAAUAACACUUCCACUGCGUGGACUAUCAAAUCCGCUGCAGACUUUUAUUGGUGCGACUAUAAAACUUAGAAUAUACCGAAUAAGAUACAGAAUACACACUUAACCCUUUGAACGUCAAGGCUAUCGUUUGCGCCUUUUGAACCUUAAUAGAAUGCACGAAGAUUGAUAUUAGGCUGUAACCACGCGCGUUUACUUGUUUGGCAGUCAAUGGGUUAAAUAUAAAUAAUUUUAAAAAUAAAUGGAAAAAGCGAAAUGACUCAUAAUAAAAUUUGGUUGAGAAUUUAAAAGUUUGACAAUACUGAGAGAAAAAGUAAUAAAAUACCUUAAGGCGAGGUGUGUCCAGAGUCCAGGCUGAUUGUAGUAUUUUUCCAUAACCGCUAAUGUUGCUUUGCUAGUUGUUUGAACUACGGUUACUAAUUAUUCGUUUACUUAAAAGCUAGAUCUAAAAUCUAAUCUAAAAUUUCUUAAUUCAGCCUGGGCAUACCUCACCUUAAACAGCAGUAUGUUUCUUGUACUAUUAUAAUCUACUGAAUGUUAUUUCAGUGUUCAUAAUGGAUUUUUGCUAAUAUAAUUUUAAUUAAGUUGUUUUCAGAAAGCAUUCAACUCAUGACCUGAAACCACAGGAUUUGAAAUGAUUUGGAGACAAUAGCGGCUGGUGCGGACGGCGUAUGGCUGAAAGAUGUCUGUGUGUCACAGUCCAGAAAUCGGGAGAGCUUCGGAGCUUGGACUAGCCCUACUGAAGACGGCAUGACUCCUUGAACAAUAGUGAAUAGAAUCAGGCGUUACUUUGUGGAAAUCUAUAUUAAUUAAAACCAAAAUAUUACUUUGCUAAUCCGCGUUAAAGGUAACGUGCUAGUCAAUCGGUGCUAACCCGUUAUACUUACUUGCGUAUUUUUUUACAUGCAAUUAAUGUUCCCAACCUCCCACCGCAAAAAUAAAUACGCAAAUAAAUAUAACAAACCACCACCAAAAGAAUAAUACUCGACACGUGUUUCGCCUCUCUACGAGGCAUCCUCAGGAGAUGUUGACAGUCUGACGCCCGGCAACGGAAAAAUUGAAAAAAAUUGAAUUGAUUUUGAUUUGAAUUGGAAUUGUGUUUCCUAGCCUAAUUUAUUUGUGGAUUUAAAUCUGUGCCGUGUACGGCGGAUGAAUCUGUCUCUGAUUAUCGGAACUGUGAUUUUUGAUCUAAGCCAGCCCAUUACGACACUUAGGGAUCUGUUCCAGCGGUCAAAUAGUUACUUACAAUUCUAAUUGAUUCCCGGUAAUUGUUUUGCCAACAUUAAGAUAACUUACGGCGUAUCAACGCAGCUGCAUCCUUGAUUGUAUGUCGCAAGGAAGCUAGUGAAAUAGGAAAUUAUUCAAAAUUACCUGAUUUAAUAUAGUUACUUACUGUUGCCCGCAGUUAAUAUAAACAUUGUACAGGGUGGAAAGAUAAGUCGGGCCCUGGAGGGAAACUACCUUAAAUCCUUAAUUGGCUCAUUUUACUUAAAUGAGACAUUCCUUUAUUUUUAAAAAGAAACAAAUCUGCAUUCAAAGAUUUUCUAAAACUCGCUUGCCUCGCUCGGGACUCGAACCGACUAAAAAUUCCAAAAAAUAAAAACUCGCAAUUUUAUUCUACUAGUCGAUACAGUUAAUAUUAAUGAUAACAUUUCUCCAAGAAACAUUAGGUCUUACACUCGUCUGUCGUACAAAAUAUCCAGAAAAUCUAAUAUUUAGUACUUAAGAUUUUUUUAGACAAUCCAAAUUUAAGAAAAAAAUUAAAAUACUUUGAAUGCAGUUUUGUUUCUUUUUAAAAAUAAAGGAAUGUCUCCUUUAAGUAAAAUGAGCCAGCUUCAGGAUUUAAGGUAGUUUCCCUCCAGGGCCAGACUUAUCUUUCCACCCUGUAUAUGUACUUACAUUUGUAAGUUUUUCAAGACUACGGGUAUGAAAUAUUGUGUUAAAUUAUUUUAAAUGCUCGGUGUCAAAAUUUUAAUUUUAAUAUAACUCAUUAUUUAACCAUAUAUCAGUCAAUUUAAUAAUUUAAUGUUUUACAUACUUACUUAUAAUUAACUCACAUUUACUCACACUUAUAUACUGGUCGUGAUCGCGGCUGACCAGUGAAACCUGCGU